GUAGUCCUUGCCUUAAACGAUGCAUACUAGGUGUAGGAGGGCUCAACCCCCUCUGUACCGGAGCUAACGCAUUAAGUAUGCCGCCUGGGGAGUACGCUCGCAAGGGUGAAACUCAAAAGAAUUGACGGGGGCCCGCACAAGCAGUGGAGCAUGUGGUUUAAUUCGAUGCAACGCGAAGAACCUUACCUGGGCUCGAAAUGUAGAGGACGAAAUCAGAAAUGAUUUCUCUCGAAAGGGUCUUUACAUAGGUGCUGCAUGGCUGUCGUCAGCUCGUGCCGUGAGGUGUUUGGUUAAGUCCAGCAACGAGCGCAACCCUUAUCGUUAGUUGCCAACGCGUCAAGGCGGGAACUCUAACGAGACUGCCUGGGUUAACCAGGAGGAAGGUGAGGAUGACGUCAAGUCCGCAUGGCCUUUAUGUCCAGGGCUACACACGUGCUACAAUGGUCGGUACAGAAGGCUGCGAAACCGUGAGGUGAAGCAAAUCCUCAAAAACCGAUCUCAGUUCAGACUGUAGUCUGCAACUCGGCUACAUGAAGUUGGAAUUGCUAGUAAUGGCGUGUCAGCAACAACGCCGUGAAUA
rnacentral:rRNA from 1 species